rnacentral:lncRNA from 1 species
GAAAGGAUGUACUUGUACUCGUCGGCGAAUCAUGACCUUCAACUCUAGUCAUUACGUUUCUCUUAUCAUCCCAUUUUUUUCUUUUGAUUCUUCUUUGCCGUCCGAUAGAAUUUACAACCAACGGUGGUUUAGCUCACUCGAGUGAAAUUUUUUAGGCCUACUCAUACUCUGGCUCUUGGGCAUGUCUACCGCCUUGUUCCUACUUAAGGUAAAUAUUCAAAUCAAAAUUUGUUGCUUUUUUAGGUUUUUUUCUUUUUGAAUUUUUACCUGAUUCUGAUUAGUAGGUCAAUUCUUUUCUCCAUCUUAAUAAUUUUUAUAGACCGUUUCAUUUCUCUAACCCAAUCGGUCAAUUCUUUUCUCUCAUCUCGAUUCUUGUUAACCGUUCGAUCCAACAUUUGACGGCAGGCGUCCCACAGUCGUC